rnacentral:rRNA from 1 species
UCCACGUUUUCCGCGCCGUAGCUAACGCAUUAAGUGCCCCGCCUGGGGAGUACGGCCGCAAGGCUAAAACUCAAAGGAAUUGACGGGGGCCCGCACAAGCGGCGGAGCAUGCGGAUUAAUUCGAUGCAACGCGAAGAACCUUACCGAGGCUUGACAUACACCAGACCGGCCCAGAGAUGGGUUUUCCUCUUUGAGGUUGGUGUACAGGUGGUGCAUGGUUGUCGUCAGCUCGUGUCGUGAGAUGUUGGGUUAAGUCCCGCAACGAGCGCAACCCUCGUUCUAUGUUGCCAGCACGUGAUGGUGGGGACUCAUAGGAGACUGCCGGGGUCAACUCGGAGGAAGGUGGGGAUGACGUCAAAUCAUCAUGCCCCUUAUGUCUUGGGCUUCACGCAUGCUACAAUGGCCGGUACAAUGGGUUGCGAUACCGUGAGGUGGAGCUAAUCCCAAAAAGCUGGUCUCAGUUCGGAUCGUGGUCUGCAACUCGACCACGUGAAGUCGGAGUCGCUAGUAAUCGCAGAUCAGCAACGC